rnacentral:rRNA from 1 species
AUACGGAGGGUGCAAGCGUUACUCGGAAUCACUGGGCGUAAAGCGCGCGCAGGCGGCCUGAUAAGUUGGAUGUGAAAGCCUACGGCUCAACCGUAGAACUGCAUCCAAAACUGUCAGGCUAGAGUGUGGGAGAGGAAGAUGGAAUUAGUUGUGUAGGGGUAAAAUCCGUAGAGAUAACUAGGAAUACUAAAAGCGAAGGCAAUCUUCUGGAACACUACUGACGCUGAGGCGCGAAGGCGUGGGGAGCAAACAGGAUUAGAAACCCUAGUAGUCC